rnacentral:rRNA from 1 species
AGAGUUUGAUCCUGGCUCAGAUUGAACGCUGGCGGAAUGCUUUACACAUGCAAGUCGAGCGGCAGCGCGGGGGCAACCCUGGCGGCGAGCGGCGAACGGGUGAGUAACAUAUCGGAACGUACUUCGUCGUGGGGGGAUAACACAGCGAAAGCUGUGCUAAUACCGCAUACGACCUGAGGGUGAAAGCGGGGGAUCGCAAGACCUCGCGCGAUGGGAGCGGCCGAUAUCGGAUUAGCUUGUUGGUGAGGUAAAGGCUCACCAAGGCGACGAUCCGUAGCUGGUCUGAGAGGACGACCAGCCACACUGGAACUGAGACACGGCCCAGACUCCUACGGGAGGCAGCAGUGGGGAAUUUUGGACAAUGGGCGAAAGCCUGAUCCAGCCAUGCCGCGUGAGUGAAGAAGGCCUUCGGGUUGUAAAGCUCUUUCGGCGGGGAAGAAAUUGCUUGGGUUAAUACCCUGAGUAGAUGACGGUACCCGAAUAAGAAGCACCGGCUAACUACGUG